ACAAGUGUAUAUUAAAGUUGUUGCAGUUAAAAAGCUCGUAGUUGGAUAUCUGUCUUGACUGACCUAGCCCUAGGCCUUCGGGAUUCUGGAGUGCUGGUUGUGGUGUUGCCUGCUUCGGUAGUGCGGCGCCCGUCAUGUCAGACAUACUUCAGGUAAUCUAUCCUGCCUUUAAUUAGGUUGGGGUAAGGAACCUGAUCGUUUACUUCGAAAAAAUUAGAGUGUUUAACGCAGGCUUUAUCGUCGCGAAUAGAUUAGCAUGGAAUAAUAAGAUAGGACUUCGGCAUCGUUAGUGAGUGCCUUGUUGUGUGGCUGGCUCGUGCUCUUCGGAGUGCGUUGCUUGUUGCAUGGCUUGGAUCAACGCUUGCUAGCCGUUCUAUUUUGUUGGUUUCUAGAGCUGAAGUAAUGAUUGAUAGGGAUAGUUGGGGGUGCUCGUAUUGCCGGGCCAGAGGUGAAAUUCUCGGAUUCUGGUAAGACGAACUUAUGCGAAAGCAUUCACCAAGGAUGUCUUCUUUAA
rnacentral:rRNA from 1 species